rnacentral:rRNA from 1 species
UGGGGAAUUUUGGACAAUGGGGGCAACCCUGAUCCAGCCAUCCCGCGUGUGCGAUGAAGGCCUUCGGGUUGUAAAGCACUUUUGGCAGGGAAGAAACAGCCUGGGCUAAUAUCCCGGGCGACUGACGGUACCUGCAGAAUAAGCACCGGCUAACUACGUGCCAGCAGCCGCGGUAAUACGUAGGGUGCAAGCGUUAAUCGGAAUUACUGGGCGUAAAGCGUGCGCAGGCGGUUCGGAAGGAAAGGUGUGAAAUCCCAGGGCUUAACCUUGGAACUGCACGUUUAACUACCGGGCUAGAGUACGUCAGAGGGGGGUAGAAUUCCACGUGUAGCAGUGAAAUGCGUAGAGAUGUGGAGGAAUACCGAUGGCGAAGGCAGCCCCCUGAGAUGAUACUGACGCUCAUGCACGAAAGCGUGGGGAGCAAACA